CAUGGUCAAAGAGUCGUCACUAAUCGAAGCUUGCACAAUGGGCAUGUCCUAUCUUUUUUAAGCUUUGGGUCGAAAGUCUCCCACCUGUCCGUAUGCGGAAAACGCAAUGAGAUUUAAAAAUAUUUUUAAAUUGUUUAAAUCCACUCAUUAAGAGUGCAUUCGUGCACUCUUUCUGUCCCGCGGGAUCCUGGUGGUCUCGUGGUGACUUCGGUACUGGAACUGUAUUUCUUGAGUUCUAAACCAUAGUUAUGACGAUUGCUGCGUGUUUGGCCUUGUCCAGCGCAGUAACCCAAUGGAGCUUACUAUUCUUGGCUCAU
rnacentral:RNase_MRP_RNA from 2 species